UAAGACUUAAUAUUGCCACGAGACCGAUAGCAAACAAGUACUGUGAAGGAAAGUUGCAAAGCACUUUGAAGAGAGAGUUAAAGAGGACGUGAAACCGGUAAGGUGGAAACGGAUAGAGUCGGCGUAUCAUUCAAUUAUUCAGUUACAUUAUUUUUAUGUUGUGACCUCUGAGCUCCAGAUUGGGACAGAGGGAAUCAGCAUAAUUUUUUGUGGUGCAUUUACUUGAUUGGUGCUUGGGGAUGUUUGAGGCAGAUUUGUUUCCGUCGUUUUGAGGCCAGCUUGCUGGUACCCAAACGGUGUUAGCAUUUUUUGUCUUGGGCAUUUGAGUAUGGCUCACGUGUAUUUAUUGGACAGAUCUGAGUGUAAGUUACGGUCGCAUGCGACACGUGCUUUUCAAUUAGUUCGGUCCAGUUAAUGCUCUCGUACUCGUUCCCCAUGUAAAAGCCGGUCAUCUAUCCGACCCGUCUUGAAACACGGACCAAGGAGUUUAUCGUGUGCGCAAGUUUUUGGGUGUUAAAAACUUAAAAGCGAAAUGAAAGUAAAUGACUCUUUAGAGUCUGAUGUGCGAUCUUGUAAAAAAGUGUAGCAUGGCCCCAUUCUAACUGUUUACAGUAGGGUGGCGGAAGAGCGUACGCGGUGAGACCCGAAAGAUGGUGAACUAUUCCUGAGCAGGACGAAGCCAGAGGAAACUCUGGUGGAAGUCCGAAGCGG
rnacentral:rRNA from 1 species